UACGAAGGGGGCUAGCGUUGUUCGGAUUUACUGGGCGUAAAGCGCACGUAGGCGGAUCGUUAAGUCGGGGGUGAAAUCCUGGAGCUCAACUCCAGAACUGCCUUCGAUACUGGCGAUCUUGAGUCCGGAAGAGGUGAGUGGAACUCCUAGUGUAGAGGUGAAUUCGUAGAUAUUAGGAAGAACACCAGUGGCGAAGGCGGCUCACUG
rnacentral:rRNA from 1 species